rnacentral:lncRNA from 1 species
GAUCCUCUUUGCACCAUCGAAAUUUUGUUUACCACUCGGGGUGAAACAAUUAUAUAGGAACCAAGAUAUAAGGAUCACGGAAUUUGUUUACCACACGGGCUGAAACAAUUAUAUAGGAACCAAGAUAUAAGGAUCACGGAAUUUGUCUACCACACUGGGUCACAAAUUCAUAGGAACACUCCUGACAAUAAGGCUGCCAUCGAAUGGCCAGCAAGUCCGACCAUACCUCCUUACUCCAGUGCAUUUUGUUUACCACUCGCGGUAAAUCAAAAUUAAG